GUGGAAGGGUGGGGAGAUGGAAGGAUGGGAGGAUAGAGGGGUAGAUGAGAAGUAUUCCCAUCUACUCCAUUGAAAACCUCUAUGAAAACCUCAGAAAGAUGCUUCCUGGGCUGGUGGAGAACAAGGUGUGCUUUAGGCUCAAAGAAGUUGUCCACAAAUUGAACACCAAGCCGGUGGAGGGCAUUAUCUCUAUUCGGCAUGCUAAUCUCUGGCCUGAAAAUUGCAGUUAAAGUCUAGGCUUUCCAACAAGGGAUCGGCCUCUGCUGAGCUGAACCAUUUCCUGCUGUUCAAUCCACUCCCUGCCCAGCUUCUGAGGGCUCACAAAAGGAUGUCCCAUGUUCUGGAAAAUGACAUGACCAGAGCAGCAUUCUCUCUGAGGAAACUGCUCCCCCUCCUUUUCCACUAGGCAUGUGUUAUAUCCUGUGUUCCUCACCAAAUAAAGUUACUCU